rnacentral:rRNA from 1 species
AAGAUUAAGCCAUGCAUGUCUAAGUAUAAGCACUUUAUACUGUGAAACUGCGAAUGGCUCAUUAAAUCAGUUAUCGUUUAUUUGAUAGUACCUUACUACAUGGAUACCUGUGGUAAUUCUAGAGCUAAUACAUGCUAAAAACCCCGACUUCGGAAGGGGUGUAUUUAUUAGAUAAAAAACCAAUGCCCUUCGGGGCUCCUUGGUGAUUCAUAAUAACUUAACGAAUCGCAUGGCCUUGCGCCGGCGAUGGUUCAUUCAAAUUUCUGCCCUAUCAACUUUCGAUGGUAGGAUAGUGGCCUACCAUGGUGGCAACGGGUAACGGGGAAUUAGGGUUCGAUUCCGGAGAGGGAGCCUGAGAAACGGCUACCACAUCCAAGGAAGGCAGCAGGCGCGCAAAUUACCCAAUCCCGACACGGGGAGGUAGUGACAAUAAAUACUGAUACGGGGCUCUUUCGGGUCUCGUAAUUGGAAUGAGUACAAUCUAAAUCCCUUAACGAGGAACAAUUGGAGGGCAAGUCUGGUGCCAGCAGCCGCGGUAAUUCCAGCUCCAAUAGCGUAUAUUAAAGUUGUUGCAGUUAAAAAGCUCGUAGUUGAACCUUGGGUCUGGCUGGCCGGUCCGCCUCACCGCGAGUACUGGUCCGGCUGGACCUUUCCUUCUGGGGAAUCCCAUGGCCUUCACUGGCUGUGGGGGGAACCAGGACUUUUACUGUGAAAAAAUUAGAGUGUUCAAAGCAGGCCUUUGCUCGAAUACAUUAGCAUGGAAUAAUAGAAUAGGACGUGCGGUUCUAUUUUGUUGGUUUCUAGGACCGCCGUAAUGAUUAAUAGGGAUAGUCGGGGGCGUCAGUAUUCAGCUGUCAGAGGUGAAAUUCUUGGAUUUGCUGAAGACUAACUACUGCGAAAGCAUUCGCCAAGGAUGUUUUCAUUAAUCAGGGAACGAAAGUUAGGGGAUCGAAGACGAUCAGAUACCGUCGUAGUCUUAACCAUAAACUAUGCCGACUAGGGAUCGGGCGGUGUUUCUAUGAUGACCCGCUCGGCACC